UACGUAGGGGGGCAAGCGUUGUCCGGAAUCAUUGGGCGUAAAGGGUGCGUAGGUGGCGCUGUAAGUCGGGUGUGAAAUUUCGGAGCUUAACUCCGAAACUGCAUUCGAUACUGCGGUGCUUGAGGACUGGAGAGGAGACUGGAAUUCAUGGUGUAGCAGUGAAAUGCGUAGAGAUCAUGAGGAAGACCAGUGGCGAAGGCGGGGUCUCUGGACAGUUCCUGACACUGAGGCACGAAGGCCAGGGGAGCAAACGGG
rnacentral:rRNA from 1 species